GUAGCGUCAUACCCAAGAAGACUCGAGGUUGCAAUGGCUGCCAAAAGUGCAUCAACAAAGUACUGACUAUAGGUUCUGAAUACUUAUGUAAAUGUGAUAUUUUUGUUUUUUAUUUUUUAUAAAUUAGCAACAAUUUCUAAACAACUGUUUUUGCUUUGUCAUUAUGGGGUAUUGUGUGUAGAUUGAUGAGGGGGAAAAAAACAAUUUAACACAUUUAAUAAUAAGGCUGUAACCUAACAAAAUGUGGAUACUUUCCGAAUGCACUGUAUGUGUAUGUCAUUGGAGUCCACACUGGCACAUAUUCACACACACACACACACACACACACACUCUUAGUACAGGUGUGUUUUAUCACAAGCCGAAGGUGAUUCCACACACGCUCACACACACUUGCUCUUGUUGACGGAGGAAAUUCAUGGCUUGUAGUUUGUGUGCAGAAGAAUCCUUAAAAAGAGGAAGAGAGUCGUCAAACACUUAUCUGUUCACUCGGCCACUCAAUCUACUUAUUGUGCAGCAAUAGUUCUGUGUAUGUUUCUGAAUACAUCUUUCACAUUAUUUUGCAUGUUGAAGAUUAUUAAUCAUAUGCUAGAACCCAAAGAAAGGCACAUGCAUAUUCUUAUUUUUACACUGAUAUACUUGACCAUGCCAACUGAAUAGCCUUACUCUUCCUGUACAUACAGAACAUUGAGGGAAAGGGGAUACCUAGUCAGUUGCACAACUGAAUGCAUUCAACCAAAAUGUGUCUUCCGCAUUUAACCCAACCCCUCUCAAUCAGAGAGGUGCGGGCUGACUUCAUCAACAUCAUUGGUGCCCAGGGAGCAGUUGUUAGGGGUUAACUGCCUUGCUCAAGGGCAGAACAGCAGAUUUUUCCACCUUGCCAGCUCAGGAUUUGAACCAGUGACCUUUCAGUUACUGGUCUAACACUCUUGAUCACUAGGCUUCCUGUUGCUCCCUAGAUAAGCCUACUGCAAUAGUCUUUCUGUGACAAUUAGCUAGAUAGAUUUAGAUAAACUAGAUUUGCCAUUUUGGUCAAAGACAGAGAGUGAUGCAUGUAUGACUAUGCAUUUCAAGAUUCCCGUGUUUUAAAUCUACAGUACUUUCAAACUCCUUUUUAGAAUUUAUAUUGCCAACUGGCAGGUGUCCCAAAUCUAGAACAUGAACCGUUCCCUGCUGCUCCCCUCUUUCUUCUGAUGGUGAACUCUUGAACUCUAGAACCCUAGAACCAAGACUCUCCUCUCCCAGCCCUGAAUCAGUCAAGUAUCAAAUUAAUUAGAUGGAAGAAAUUAAGCUACCAGACCUUACACGCUACUUGUAACCAACAAUCUUUCAUAUAAUUAGUUUUGACCCAAUCAAAGCCUUUUGAAAGUAGAAGGCUCUCAUUGGCUAACAUGACUCAUCCUGCCCUUUGGUCUUGGUCAAUGAGGGUCAGAUUCAGAGAUUUAUUUCCAUAUCCCCUAUACAUGAUUGCAUCCUCUUCUCAUAUUAUGUCAUUACUCAACCAUAUUUUAUGUAUUAUGUUAUUAUUCUUCCCAAAUGCUUAUUCAUAAAUACAGUAUAAGCAGGACUCAUUGAGGAAUAAGACAGAGCUGGAGACCAAUUUGGCUGGAGAGUUCUCGGGUUGUAGUCGCUAGUUUAUGAUGAGUAAACAGACCAAAACUAUUCCCCUCACCUCCCAGUCCCCAUACUGUGUAACUCAUUCAAUAAAAUAAUUUCUAUAAAAUAUCAUGCAUUUUCAUAACUGUGUCCUGGAUAUAUGAUAUGAUACAGGCUACAGUUAGUCUGGGUACCAGUCUGUUUAGCUAACAUUCCACUCUGUAUUCCGUGUCAUAUGCCAAAGUUUAGCUAAACAGACUUCUAUAGGCACGGGUAAGCCUCGAGCAAGGAGCGAACAACCACUGUAGCCACAGAUCUCACUUAUUUAAUGUUAGUUAUUCCAGACAGAUCUAGCAUUUCUCCAUCUGGAAAUUACUACUUACAACACAACUGCAAUUAUUUUAUUUCAUGUUUGUCCAAGAUAGCUAGCUGCAAAGCUAGCAAGCUAGUUAAUUUAAGAUGCCUCUAGAUCCAGUUCGCCAGCAGAGCAGCACUCGCCAAAAAGACAGGUAUGUCACUUUUGCUUUUAGAACUUUCUAAUCACCUCUAAAGUUGUUUGGUAUGCAAUCGCACUAGCUACAUAUAUCUAGCUGAAAAUACUUGAUGAAAUGGAUUGUUUCUUUGUAGCUAGCAAUCUAGCCUGGUUGUAGGCUGUAGGUUACAGCAGGCAAGUACUGUAACAUUGCAGUAGCCAGCUAACGUUACACCUUUACUGAAUGACAACAAUAAAGCCUGAACACUGCUCGGUCUUGCUAGUUGGGCUUAGAAAUGGACAAAUGAACAUAUGGAGAGAUCACACAUACAUGCAGCUGUGGUGGUGGCACUUUGUUUUAGCUAUCUACCUGCUUUAAAUAGUGAAAAUACUCCAGCCUUUGGUGCUCCCGAGUGGCGCAGUGGUCUAAGGCACUGCAUCUCAGUGUUAGACGCCUCACUACAGACACCCUGGUUCGAAUCCAGCUGUAUCACAACCGGCCGUGAUUGGGAGUCCCAUAGGGCAGCGCAGAAUUGGGCCGGUGUAGGCCGUCAUUGUAAAUAAGAAUUAGUUAUUAACUGACUUGCCUAGUUAAAUAAAAUAAAAAAACAGCAGGUCUCCCAUGAACAAGUGAUGUUGACCUCAAUGGGACAACCAGGUAAUUAAAGCUACACUAGAUAGUGAGAAUGCACAGAACAGUGUGGUUCAGUGGAAGAUUUUCAAAAGAAUUUUCAGUCAGAUGAGACACCUGGUGUCAUUCAUUUACAGAUUGAGAAAGAUUUCCAUAUCUGUUAUUGCUAAUGGUGUGGCUAUGUGCUGUUGCUUUUAAUAAACACACAGCAAACCAAAAGCUGACACCAUUGGAGUGGGUGCCGGAUAGACAAUGGUGGUAAAUAUCUCAUUCAAAUUGAAUUUAAUUCAUUAAUGUGGCCACUUAAUUUACUGUAUGGUUAUCGUUAUAAGUUAUGCAUACUUAAUGUUAAUAUUCCUUUACCCUAGGUCCUUCAUUCUGGAAUGUGAAGCCGACUGACCCUAGCAGGAAGGACCAGAGAAAAGUGUUUGCUUAAGAUCUGCCAAGCACACCUCUGCCAGCCACACCACCACUGCCCUUGACAGCUUCUGCACUGGGCCCAUCAAGAGAUGAGGUCGCGUCUUCAUCUUGUACCACGGCCAAUGGACAGAGCCCAUUAGAGCGGCCAGUGAUGGGCUACUGGCCAAUCAUCACGGAGAAGAAGAUAUCCUGAAGCGGGUGAAUCUGCUCUGCUCUUAACACCAGCCCAGAGAAGCUCCUAGAGAGACACAGCUGUGGCAUUAUGUUACUGUAGAGAGUGAAACGGUCAGUGUCCCAGUCAUGUCCUCAGUCAUGUCCCCUGCCACCUACACUUACCCAGCAGAAGGCCUCACCAACUCAACGUUGCCGUUUGAGGAUUUAGCUUCCGCUGCCUUCUUUCAAUGGGAACUGGAGGCCUCGAAGCAGAGGGGGCAGUGAGGAAGGAGCGAACAGAGGAAAGAGAUGUACAGGUUCUGCCAGCAGCCGCUGAAACAAAUCUCCAACAGCCCAUAUCAGCUUUCCCUGAGUGGUAGGAAAAUAUCUACUGCCUAGUGUUUCCUCUGUACAUUGUACAAGGCAUCGGAGGGAGCUCCAGCAGUCUGCCUUUUAUGAGACUGAAAAGAAGAGAUGGAUGGUGGAGAAGGGUAGUGACUCUAUACACACCUACACACAGAAAUAAAUAGGAGCUGCAAAUCUAUUGUCAUAGAAAUUACCACCAGGGACUCAAAGUCAAACUUAAAUGAAUCAUUCUUUAUUUUCAGUUAACUGGAGAGGUUCCAACAAACUUAAUGCACCAUAGUACACGUCGGUCGGGAGCUCUGUCCCUCAAUUGUUCGCGGAUGAUGUGUCUCCUCCUGGGCAGCUCACAGUAAGGGUCUGGGUGGGUCCUCGUUGUCUUUUGGUCAGACAGAAAUUUCCUUCAUGCUUCAUGAAAUGUGCCACCAGUUUUCUUCGCAGACCCUCACUAGAAAGCUCCGCAGGCAGAAUCAAUCAUCCGGUUCUUGAUGCCAAAUUGUCAUGGAAAUUACCAACAGGGACUCAAAGUCAAACUUAAACUAAUCAUUAUUUAUUGUCAGUUAACUGGAGAAGUUCCAACAAACUUAAUGCACCAUAGUACACAUCGGUCGGGAGCUUUCCGGGGCAGUCCCGUUAGUUCUCUUAUAUACUGCUUACACAGACAAGUUAUAUUUGCAUGAUUUACAUUAUACAUUAUUCCUGAUUAAUUAAUUUGGUUAUUGCUUAAACUAUCAAAGGAGGUUCUAUCAAAAUACGUCAUUAUAAGUAAGCGAAAUGAACACAUAAAACCAGACACUUCAUCCUUUCAAACCCUUCAUUCUGGGUUGUGCAAUCCAACUUGUAAAACCAUUGCAGUAGAAUGUUUUAUGCUUCACUACAGGACACUAUUUCCAUUAAUGGAAGUGGUUCGGACUCUCGUUGAAUUUGUAUCUAUUUCACUGUCCAUUAUUUUACAUUUAAUCAGUAAGGCCAGGGAGGUGUGGUAUAUGGCCAAUAUACCACGGUUAAGGGCUGUUCUUAUGCAAGACACAACGCAGAGUGCCUGGAUACAGCCUUAGCCAUGGUAUAUUGUCCAUAUAUCACAAACCCCAGAGGUGCCUUAUUGCUAUUAUAAACUGGUUACCAAUGUAAUUAGAGCAGUAAACUAAAUGUGCUUUCAGCCAAUCAGAAUUCAGGACUCAAACCACCCAGUUUAUAAUACUGAACAUACAUUGCUGUAUAUUUUGUUGUACAAAGGAUUGUUCUCCAACACUAUCAUAAAUAUGUCUGUGAUUUCAUUAAAGUAAACCUGAAAGUAAAGUAAUA